rnacentral:rRNA from 1 species
UAGCGAAGGGGGGCUAGCGUUGCUCGGAAUCACUGGGCGUAAAGCGCACGUAGGCGGAUUGUUAAGUCAGGGGUGAAAUCCUGGAGCUCAACUCCAGAACUGCCUUUGAUACUGGCGAUCUCGAGUCCGGGAGAGGUGAGUGGAACUGCGAGUGUAGAGGUGAAAUUCGUAGAUAUUCGCAAGAACACCAGUGGCGAAGGCGGCUCACUGGCCCGGUACUGACGCUGAGGUGCGAAAGCGUGGGGAGCAAACAGG